rnacentral:lncRNA from 1 species
GCCUUACGAAAAUGUUGUAUAUACUGCACCAGAAAAAAAGUAUAUACUUACUUUAUCAAAGUGUAUGUUAUAUACCCAUUUGAUUUAAUUUUGUAUGCUACAUACUGCCGUGCACAAAGAGCAGUCUAUGUACUACUCUGAUAUAGAUGGUAUUUAGACAAAAUACAGUACAAUAGUAUAUACUUUGAAUUAGUACUCCACAGUCACUAUGUUAGUAUAUACAAUAUCGCAGAAAUAUUGUUCUAGCAAUCAUUAAAAAAAUGUUCUGGUAUAUACUUACUAUUGACACCUACUCCGUCCCAAGCUGCCUAGGUUCACGGCAAAAAAAGUAAAAGGUCCGUAUAUUUUCAAUAGUUGGCAAUAUACAUUUAGGUACCUUUCUAGCUAUAUACUACAUAUUAGAUAAAUUCUCUUGAAAAAUCCAUGCAUAUCUGAAAAGGCGCAUGGUAUAGCACACAGUUUAGUAGUACAACAUACAGAAAAUCACAAAUGUAUUUAUACCUGAAAGUAUUUAUAAGAAGCAUGACGAUAUUAUUGGAGAUUAUUAAUCCAAAUCCUAUAGAAAAAAAUUCAAUGAAGCUGCAUAGUAGCCUUAGCUGUAGUGGAAGGCAUAAAACUGAUCGAGCAAACUAUCAAAUACAUGAAGGUUCAUAUGGUCGAUGCCAUGAGUUCCACAGGAGCCUGAACCCAUGACUGCCACUGAUGAUGAACAUCCGGCACAGCGUCUGCAUCGACAGUAAAAAUCAUCAACCUGAUUGGUAAGAAGAAAAACAUCUUCAAACAACACUAAUCCUACAGCACACAAAACAGAUUGUGUAAUUUCCUUAUUAAGAAUUCAACGGUCUACUUAACAUUGCUUAGGCUUGGUAUAGCACACAGUUUAGUAGUACAACAUACAAAAAAUCACAAAUGUAUUUAUACAUGAAAGUAAUUAUAAGAAGCAUGACCAUAUUAUUGGAGAUUAUUAAUCCAAAUCCUAUAGAAAAAAUCUCAAUGAAGCUGCGUAGUAGCCUUAGCUGUAGUGGAAGGCAUAAAACUGAUCGAGCAAACUAUCAAAUACAUGAAGGUUCAUAUGGUCGAUGCCAUGAGUUCCACAGGAGCCUGAACCCAUGACUGCCAC